GAUGAACGCUGGCGGCGUGCCUAAUACAUGCAAGUCGAGCGAAUGGAUUAAGAGCUUGCUCUUAUGGAGUUAGCGGCGGACGGGUGAGUAACACGUGGGUAACCUGCCCAUAAGACUGGGAUAACUCCGGGAAACCGGGGCUAAUACCGGAUAACAUUUUGAACCGCAUGGUUCGAAAUUGAAAGGCGGCUUCGGCUGUCACUUAUGGAUGGACCCGCGUCGCAUUAGCUAGUUGGUGAGGUAACGGCUCACCAAGGCAACGAUGCGUAGCCGAGCGGAGAGGGUGAGCGGGCACGCUGGGACUGAGGCACGGACCAGACGCCUACGGGAGGAAGCAGGAGGGAAGCUUCCGAAAUGGACGAAAGGCUGACGGAGCAACGGAGCGUGAGUGAGGAAGGCUUUCGGGUCGUAAAACUCUGUUGUUAGGGAAGAACAAGUGCUAGUUGAAUAAGCUGGCACCGUGACGGUACCUAACCAGAAAGCCACGGCUAACUACGUGCCAGCAGCCGCGGUAA
rnacentral:rRNA from 1 species